CAGUCGCCGCGGUAAUACGGAGGGUGCAAGCGUUAUCCGGAUUUAUUGGGUUUAAAGGGUCCGUAGGUGGAUCUGUAAGUCAGUGGUGAAAUCUCACAGCUUAACUGUGAAACUGCCAUUGAUACUGCAGGUCUUGAGUAAAUUUGAAGUGGCUGGAAUAAGUAGUGUAGCGGUGAAAUGCAUAGAUAUUACUUAGAACACCAAUUGCGAAGGCAGGUCACUAAGAUUUAACUGACGCUGAUGGACGAAAGCGUGGGGAGCGAACAGGAUUAGAUACCCGAGUAGUCCCUGUCUCUUAUAC
rnacentral:rRNA from 1 species